rnacentral:lncRNA from 1 species
GUGCCAAGAGACAGGGUUCCGUGAGGAGCCAGACAUGGUGAACACAGAGGAGCAGAAGCCCCAGGACAUUUCUGAGGGAAGAGGUUCCAAAGGAAGCUGGAGAUGACCUAGAGCCUUUGGCUUCUCCGCCUAACAUCCGCUUGGGCAGCAGGGAAGGGGAGAGAAGGAGAACACGAAGUGAGGCAUGGGAAUGAGACAAUGGUGGGAAAAGAGGACGCUGGAAGGAAGAUCUACUCUUCCAGUCUGCAGGUGGCCCCCGAGGAGCCGCAGUAGGUCAUGGUAGGGGAGAAUUACAGGCGGGGAAAGUGCAAAGCUGCUUAGAAGAGGGUCCAGGGUGGAAGGGUGGAAAGCAGAAAGUCCUGGAAGUGGAUCUGCUUCCAAGGUCGGGAGUGGGAACGUGGACGUGUGCUCACCUCACCUGCAGUUAAACUCCAAGGGGCUCCUUUGAGGAGAAAGAGGGGACACCGUUGCGGAGAAUAGGGCUCCUUCCUUUUUCCUCCCCACCUCCCCACUGCGCAAAUGCUGGAGGUUUGAGCAGUUAGGGUUCUCAGAAGGGCCUCGCAGAUAGCACCAGUGGUUUAUUGGGGGUUGGGAGGUGUGUCUUGAGGCUGGGCCAUGAACUGGAAGUGUGGAGUGACUUUUUGCCUGGCCACACCCCCCAGCCACCCCUCCCGGGGCUUGGCCUUGGUCACGGCCCAUUCUGGAGCCUUGGGCUCAGCUCAUGAGUGCACACUGCUUUCUGCUGGGACCAGCAGUCUCACAGUUGCCUGGAAACCAUUCUGGUUUUUCACAAACCUUUGCCUGCCUUUCAUUCACCACACACAGGAAGAGCCUGCAGCUAGCAAUGCUAUGCACACUGUGUGGCCUGAGCUGUAAGAAAGGCCAUAGCUAGAGCUUCUGCCAGGGCAGGGGCACUAAAGACAGACUUGCAGUUCAGCCACAGGACUAGGCCUCUCUGCUGCUGAGCUCCCAGCGGGGUCCCACUGCUCCCUCCAUUAUCCUUAUAGGGCUCUCUCUGAGUGGAUCUAAACCCUUCUUCAAAUUUAUUUUUAGCAUAGAAUACUCUACAGACAGAAGAGCUUACCUGCUUUAUUCAAUGGGUUCUUGCAGCCCAAGGGAUGCCUUAGCCCUGAUAUUGUAGUAUUCGUAGGCUGAUUCAUGAUCCCUGCCGACAUAUCCUUAAAAGACUGGAUAGAUGCUACACACAGCUCAGCCCAGCCCUCUUCUUUCUAGAACACCCCCAUCCCCAGCUGCCUGACACCCUUCUCUGGACUAGAAAAAGCCUUGUAACAUCUUGCUUCACCGACAACAGAGUGAGUGGGUUUCCUGUGCGGAAACACCUUGCUUGGGUGAAGUGUCAGAUGAGGCUAUAUUUUGCUUGGUUGUUCGUCCUCCAUCAUUCUAUUGGCCUCCUGUGCUCAGCGGCACCCGGAUCCUCCUCCUUAUCUCAGGGCCACACCUUACACUUGUCCACUCGGAAUCUGUCUUCUACUUCCCUGCGCCCUGGGCUGGUCCUUCUGCAGCUUCUCUCCCUGUGGUUGAAAAUCUAACCACCCACUGUUGUCAUUUCUCUUUUGUGUAUCCCAUUUCCCCAUUGAAAAUAGCAUUCAAUAAGACAGGUUCCAGCAUGCCUCCUCUGACCACCCCACUGGUAACAGUUCUGCACUCAGAAACACACAUGCUCAGCCCUGCUUUGGGGUUUUGCUUUUGGUAAACCAUUUCUCUUAUCCUUACAAAUUUUUGAAACAUCAUCUUUCUGUCUCAGAUUGCUUCCUCCUUAAAAACCCAGCCCCCAGGGACCUGCCUGUUUCAUCUUUACCCCAUGCCUCUAGUGGCUUUCUUGCUUAGCCAGGUGACACUUUUCAGACAGUUUAGGGAUGGCAUUGAGGUGGGAGGAAGGCAGGCUCUCUGGAUCCUGCCCACCCCUGCCUUUCCCUUAGCCUUCCCUGCGGUGGUACAAACACACAGACCCUUUCAAGUGAGGGCUUCAUUGGCAAUUCGUCCAGACAAUACAAAAGGAGGGUCAAUAAGGGGAAGGGACGAAGGCUCCAGGAAGGUCACUGGGUCCUUCUAGUUUACUUCCUGGUCCCUACUGCAGUGUCCAUGACGAUCCUCAGUCUGUCUUGGGUGUCUUGAAUGGUGCUGAUAUAGUCCCCCUGUUUCUGCUCUUUCUCACAUUCUUCUCCAGGGCCUGUUCCCAGCAAGAUCCCUGUGCCCAAUAUCUUGCAUUUGCAUUGAAGAGGCACUGGCUGCGCCAGGAGAAUGAAGUCGGAGAGAUAUCUCUCCAGGCAUCUCCCUGCUGGCUGGCGUGGGCUGCCUGCAUCCCUCAGGGGAAGGCAUGGCUCUGGCCUGGCUGCCCUCUCUGAGUCUGUUCAUUGUAUAUGGAACCUUCUUUACCCACCUUGCACACCCUUGCUCUUUCAGGUUGUCUUCUACUCAAGGCAGCAGGUCCAAACUUUUGUCAUGAUAAAGAGUCAGAUCACUGAGCUCUGCCAAAAAUACCUGGUUUGGUAGGGUCUCGGCUCCUGCUGGCUCCCUGGCGGAUACAGUCCUUCUCUCCAGUGUCGUUUCUCAACCUCUUAAAUCCAGGUUUCCUCUCCGUAAAUGGAAAAACCUCAUGCUCUGCCAGCAAUUCUAAUGCACCUUUCAGGCACUUUGGGAAGCGCACCUCACCUAGGAUGACUCGCGCCCUGGAGGCUCGGGAAGGACAGGCUGUUUGCUCUGCAGCCCAUCUGCCAAGCAUCCCCAAAGAACAUUCAAGUCUGAGCCUCAAGGAGCCUCUGCGACUCGGUGUCUAGAUCCAGGAAAUGGAGAAUGAGCCGUGACUUUGGAUGCUUCACUCUUGUCCAUCAGGCUCGGAAUUGGUGAGCAUCUCCCACAUUACCGUCUCCAACGGAACAAGGUGCCCCAUUGGACAUUUCCUCUGCAUGGACCAGCCAUUCUCCAAAUCUGCCCCCAUGUCACCCCAGCUCCCCAUCGCAGUCACUUCUCACUCCUUGUCCCCUGUCCCCCUGAGUGACAGGACUUUUGCCAGUUAGGUCCUGUCCCUGUUUCUGAUCUUGGGUCCAUUCCCCAUGGUCCCUUUCUUGCUUGUGCCUUGGGAUCUCAGGCCUGUUGAAGUAGGAGGCAGGACUCAACUUCAGACCAGAUUGAAGACUGGCUGACACAGAAGAGGCACCAAAAGCACCUCUCUCUCCAUAAGACAUGCCCACCAGUGCCAUGACAGUUUACCAUUGCUAUGGCAAUGCCCAGAAGUUCUCACCCCUUUUCCAGACAUUUCUGCAUAAUCUACCCCUCAAUUGGCAUGUGAUCAAAAGUGGGUGUCAAAAUGACUGUGGAACUGUCCCUGAGCUGCUACUCUUGACAUGCUGGUUACAGGGUAGCCCGGCUCUGCAGGGACAGUCACGGAGCUGAAAAACUGCUGCCUAAUGAAGCUGUUUUCUUCUA